CUUAACAAUAUGCUCUAAUUCCCAAUCUUGUUUUAUGAAGAGAUUUCUGCCUUCUAUAGGCUGAUCAAAAUAUAACAUAUUUUCUUAACUUUGAAUUACAGGUCUUUCUUGAAUUUAAAACUGACGCAGAGCUGAUAUAUCUCCUUUGACUUCUGCCAUGAUUAUGAGGCCUACCCAGCCAUGCUGAACUGUAAGGCUUCUGAGAUUAUAAAUAGUUUCAGAGGAAGACCUACUUCUUUUGUGUCAACUACAAUCCCACAGCAGUUGGAGUAUCAAAAAUGACUUCGAUCUGCAACUGAAAGAAUCACAGCAAGCUCUCAUUGCACCAAGUAGGUAAAUUUUCCUUUCUUCUUAAAAUGCAUGUUUCCAUGUCAUAGAGGAGAAGGUGUAUUGCUUUAAAAACUAAUUUCUGUAGAU